AACGGCCGUACCAUGCUGAAUAUACCGGUUCUCGUUAGAUCACCGAAGUUAAGCAUCAUUGGGCGCGGUCAGUACUUGGGUGGGUGACCACCUGGGAACUGCGUGCCGUU
rnacentral:rRNA from 1 species